GAGAACUGUAAGACAGGUGAAAAGAUAAUGUAUUCGUCUGCCAACUGAAGAACUUGAAAACAACAGAACAACUGGUGCUUUAGAUCUGUUAUGAGGAAAAUGGAAAUUCUGAUCCUGGAAGGCAGUGCUAAUUAUAAUCCUCAGCCAUGGGAUGAGUGGUCAAGCAAAUGAAACAACAGCUGCUUGAAGAGACUUUCUUC
rnacentral:lncRNA from 1 species